UCGAAACGUAGAGUUUGGUUGUAGCUGGCCUGAAAACGGCAUGUGCACGCCUUUCUCUUUCAUCCACACACCCCUGUGCACCUGUGAGACGGAGGCCCUAUAGUUCUCUUUCAGCGAGGGGAUUGGGCUUCCGUCUGCCUUCACACAAACCCAAUUUAUUUAAUCUGAAUGUAAUCGAUGUUAACGCAUCUCGUAUAC
rnacentral:misc_RNA from 1 species